CUACGGGUCGCUCCAGUCGAGAAUAUUCGACAAUGGGCGAAAGCCUGAUCGAGCGACGCCGCGUGCAGGAAGAAGGCCUUCGGGUUGUAAACUGCUUUUAUCAAGGAGGAACGCAAGUGACUGUACUUGAUGAAUAAGGAGCUGCAAACUUCGUGCCAGCAGCCGCGGUAAUACGAAGGCUCCAAGCGUUGUCCGGAUUUAUUGGGCGUAAGGGUCUCCAGGCGGUGGUGUUAGUCGGGCGUUAAAUCUCACUGCCCAACAGUGAAACCGCGUUCGAAACGGCACGACUCGAGGGGGGGAGAGGUGAGCGGAACUCACGGUGUAGGGGUGAAAUCCGUUGAUAUCGUGGGGAACACCAGAGGCGAAGGCGGCUCACUGGCCCUUUCCUGACGCUCAUGAGACGAAAGCGUGGGGAGCGAAUGGGAUUAGAUACCCGGGUAGUC
rnacentral:rRNA from 1 species